rnacentral:rRNA from 1 species
GACGAACCGAGCGAACGUUAUUCGGAAUCACUGGGCUUAAAGGGUGCGUAGGCGGGCACGCGAGUCAGGGGUGAAAUCCCACGGCCCAACCGUGGAAGUGCCUCUGAUACCGCGAGUCGUCGAGGGGAUAGGGGCGUGCGGAACUUCCGGUGGAGCGGUGAAAUGCGUAGAUAUCAUUUGGAACGCCAAUGGUGAAAACAGGUAGCUGGGAGUGUGCUGACACUGAGACACGAAAGCCAGGGGAGCAAACGGG